rnacentral:rRNA from 1 species
GUGUCAGCCGCCGCGGUAAUACGUAGGGCGCAAGCGUUGUCCGGAAUUAUUGGGCGUAAAGAGCUCGUAGGCGGUCUGUCGCGUCUGGUGUGAAAACUCGAGGCUCAACCUCGAGCUUGCAUCGGGUACGGGCAGACUAGAGUGCGGUAGGGGAGACUGGAAUUCCUGGUGUAGCGGUGGAAUGCGCAGAUAUCAGGAGGAACACCGAUGGCGAAGGCAGGUCUCUGGGCCGCAACUGACGCUGAGGAGCGAAAGCAUGGGGAGCGAACAGGAUUAGAAACCCCCGUAGUCC